ACCAAAAAUGUCUGUGUCCUCCUAAAGGUACGCCUUCACCAAAAACAACAAGCCAACCAUCGUUGCCAAGGGCAACCCUAACCUCUCCUUCGGACGCGCCACACAGAUGAGCGCCAAUGACAUCGCCCGUGUCAACAGGCUUUACCAAUGCUGAUGACGGAGGGAAAGAGUUGAUUCAAGUCUCAGCUUGUCAUGAUUACUCCAAAGGCCCAGAUCUGUUGUACUGCAGGAGUAUUAUUUCAAAGAAACAGAAACUUGCAACAAGUCAGUAAAGUAGUAGUAUUAGUAUCUUCAGCUCCAGUUGUGGCUUCAUGGCUGAGAUAUUGAUGUAUACUAUGAACAGAAAACUUCAGGAAAUUGUUUCAGCAUGUCUAAAAAGCUCAAAGAUGCUAGUUGAGGAGGAGGCAGAUCUUUGACUGCCAGACUGCAGAGUCACCUGCUGGAGGUUGAUGGUAUUACAUCUCUUUCUGCUGAGGUCAGACAUUGGACUUCUUUGUUGGUUUUAAAAUACAAACUUUAUGAUUUUAUUUUAUGAUGUUUUUUUACUGGGUGGGCUCACAGAGAGCCAAGAGACUGUGAUUUGAUUCGAUGAUUGUUAAGGAUGUUGACAGACACAGAGUAUAUAAAUAAUGACGAAACAGCAAAGUCAAAAGGAUAAAUGUGUUGUUAUAAAGCAUUUUGAACUUAUAACACAAUAAUGCAAAAAUAUUUUAUUUAUUUUAUGCGUCAAUUGAUCAUUUAUGUGUAUUUCUGUUUGUACAUUCACUUGCCUUAAAUUGCCUCUUGAUGAAUGAAUAAAGCAUUUUGAAUUAAA